rnacentral:lncRNA from 1 species
UUUUGUAACAUGAUCCGUAGCUCCUGAAUCUGCAUACCAGAGAUGAGCUUCCUUCUGCAUUGCUACCAAAUUCACAGUAGGCUCAUCAACAGUACCUGUUUCAAGGUACCAAAUAGAUCCAGAACCUUUAUAUGCAGUAUUAACGAACAUCUUGCCAGUAGGCCGUUAGGUGAUAGUACUCUAUUGUGUGUUGGAGGAUAUUUGAUGA